rnacentral:tRNA from 1 species
GGAGAUGUAGCUUAGUGGUAAAGCCCUUGCCUAGCACGCAAAAGGCCCUGGGUUCGAUCCCUAGCCCA